GCUACAGUCGUAUAGAGGUUAUUAUGCCUGCUUUGGGUCAUGACUGCAGGAGGUCCCCGGUUCGAAUCCGGGCUGUGGCC